CGGGGAAUCUUGCACAAUGGGGGAAACCCUGAUGCAGCGACGCCGCGUGAACGAUGAAGCCCUUCGGGGUGUAAAGUUCUUUCGACAGGAACGAUAAUGACGGUACCUGGAGAAGAAGCACCGGCUAACUCUGUGCCAGCAGCCGCGGUAAUACAGAGGGUGCAAGCGUUAAUCGGAAUUACUGGGCGUAAAGGGCGCGUAGGUGGUUAAUUAAGUCAGAUGUGAAAUCCCCGGGCUUAACCUGGGAAUUGCAUUUGAAACUGAUUGGCUAGAGUACGGGAGAGGGAAGUGGAAUUUCCGGUGUAGCGGUGAAAUGCGUAGAUAUCGGAAGGAAUACCAGAAGCGAAGGCGACCUACUGGGACAUUACUGACGCUGAGGCUCGAAAGCGUGGGGAGCAAACA
rnacentral:rRNA from 1 species